rnacentral:rRNA from 1 species
UAGGUAAUCUUCGGCAAUGGGGGGAACCCUGACCGAGCAACGCCGCGUGAGUGAAGAAGGUUUUCGGAUCGUAAAGCUCUGUUGUUAAGGAAGAACGAGUGUGAGAAUGGAAAGUUCAUACUGUGACGGUAUCUAACCAGAAAGCCACGGCUAACUACGUGCCAGCAGCCGCGGUAAUACGUAGGUGGCAAGCGUUGUCCGGAUUUAUUUGGCGUAAAGCGAGCGCAGGCGGUCAAUUAAGUCUGAUGUGAAAGACCCCGGCUCAACCGGGGAGGGUCAUUGGAAACUGGUUGACUUGAGUGCAGAAGAGGAGAGUGGAAUUCCAUGUGUAGCGGUGAAAUGCGUAGAUAUAUGGAGGAACACCAGUGGCGAAGGCGACUCUCUGGUCUGUAACUGACGCUGAGGCUCGAAAGCGUGGGUAGCAAACAGG